rnacentral:rRNA from 2 species
CUGCGAAUGGCUCAUUAUAUAAGUUAUCGUUUAUUUGAUAGUACCUUACUACUUGGAUAACCGUGGUAAUUCUAGAGCUAAUACAUGCUAAAAAUCCCGACUUCGGAAGGGAUGUAUUUAUUAGAUUAAAAACCAAUGCCCUCUGGGCUCUCUGGUGAUUCAUGAUAACUUCUCGAAUCGCAUGGCCUUGCGCCGGCGAUGGUUCAUUCAAAUUUCUUCCCUAUCAACUUUCGAUGUUUGGGUAGUGGCCAAACAUGGUUGCAACGGGUAACGGAGGGUUAGGGCUCGACCCCGGAGAAGGAGCCUGAGAAACGGCUACUACAUCCAAGGAAGGCAGCAGGCGCGCAAAUUACCCAAUCCCGAUUCGGGGAGGUAGUGACAAUAAAUACUGAUACAGGGCUCUUUUGGGUCUUGUAAUUGGAAUGAGUACAAUUUAAAUCCCUUAACGAGGAACAAUUGGAGGGCAAGUCUGGUGCCAGCAGCCGCGGUAAUUCCAGCUCCAAUAGCGUAUAUUAAAGUUGUUGUGGUUAAAAAGCUCGUAGUUGAACCUUGGGCCUGGCUGGCCGGUCCGCCUCACCGCGUGUACUGGUCCGGCCGGGCCUUUCCCUCUGUGGAACCCCAUGCCCUUCACUGGGUGUGGCGGGGAAACAGGACUUUUACUUUGAAAAAAUUAGAGUGCUCCAGGCAGGCCUAUGCUCGAAUACAUUAGCAUGGAAUAAUGAAAUAGGACGUGCGGUUCUAUUUUGUUGGUUUCUAGGACCGCCGUAAUGAUUAAUAGGGACAGUCGGGGGCAUCAGUAUUCAAUUGUCAGAGGUGAAAUUCUUGGAUUUAUUGAAGACUAACUACUGCGAAAGCAUUUGCCAAGGAUGUUUUCAUUAAUCAGGAACGAAAGUUAGGGGAUCGAAGACGAUCAGAUACCGUCGUAGUCUUAACCAUAAACUAUGCCGACUAGGGAUCGGACGAUGUUAUUUUUUGACUCGUUCGGCACCUUACGAGAAAUCAAAGUGC